CUUGUGUGGCAAGAAAGUACAAAUACUCACUCAGCGCAUUAAUGUUGCCAGCAAUACAAAUGGGAAUAUCAAUGUUAGAAGCAGUAGGCGUCCGCGGCGGCAGGCAGGAGUCAGGACCAGACGGAACUACGAUCUGCAGACACCUGCGAGGCGAGAAAGCACAAAAAAACUCCGGGAAAGAAGCUGAAUUAGUGAUGUGCAUUAAUAAAACGUGGAUUAUUGUAGAAGGAGAGCGUGAGAGAGGAGCUCGGUGUGUCCUAAGAAGUCCCCCGGCAGUCUAAGCCUGUAGCAGCUUAACUAAGGGCCGGUCCAGUUUAACCUGAGCCAGCCCUAACUAUGGGCAGAAUCAAAGAGGAACGUUUUAAGCUUUAUCUUAAAUGAGCUGACCGAAUCUGCCCCCCGGACUGAAAGUGGAAGCUGGUUCCAGUUGUCUCUGGCUCCCAUCCUACUUUUUAAAAUUCUAGGAGCCACAAGUGACCCAGCAUCUAUGCAGCGCAGCUGGUUAGGCCUGCAACUGUCUGCAGGUGGAGGAGGAACCUGCAGUCUACUGGCAGAGGGUGGAGAUGGAGGUUUGUCCUACAGCUGACUGCCAAUUGAUCAACUAGGCUUGAAUCCUGCUUUGUAAGUUUCUUAUGAGUAAUGUUGUGCCAGUGAACACCGCCGGCACCUUGCAGUCGAUUGUCUGCACUGACAUGACAAGUGAGGAAACCUUCCCUUCAUGUACCGUAAAGAUCAUUUUACCGCUUACCAGCAAGCUGCUUCGUUACUUCCUCACUAAAUACUCAAAUCUUGACGUUAAGGCAAUGAGUUUUUGAUCUCUUGCUGUGCAGUCAUCCUUGACUGUAAAAUGGAAAAAUAACUCUCCGUGUACACAAGGGGGAGCUCCACUAACUGUGGACGGAACACAGAGGCAUGCUGGGAAACCACAGGGGAAGAUGGGACAACAUGGGAGAAAGACAAAUUCACACUAUGAGAGGAUUUGUGUAUCAGCAAAAAUAACUAAGAUAUUGUUACAGACAGCCGCGACAUAAUUUAAUUUUUAAUUUUUUUCUCUUGACUAAAUAAAUUCUGUUGGAGUGGAAUACGAAUGGGUUAUUGUUAUUGUAAAAGAUGUUGUUACGGAACGUGACAAUGCAAAGGCAAUACUUACAUGAACUGAUUACUUGGCAAUAAAAGUUAUAGUCGUGAGUUGUUGUAUACAUGUUUAUGUAUAUUUAACUUGAAAGGGGUAAUUCAUUCUACUUAGAAUAAAGAAAAUAAAUACUUCAUGUGGGCUGAUGAUUUUUGUUAAAGAUGACUAAUUCAGACUUGAAUAUACUGCAUCCAUUAAAGGUUCUACGUCAACACAACUUGACUUGUUUAGUUCCUGGUGAACACUAAACGGUUUCUAGGCAACAAAUGUCGGGCAAACGUUAACGUUGUGUAGCCUGUGUGACCCCUUCUUACUUAUUCAGUAAGAAUUGGGUUCGCUUUCAGUUGAAUGUUUGUGACGGACUUGAGAUGUUUAUCCAUAUAAUUCCCUUCAUGAACGUCACUGAUGCCUUUUUUGAUGGAGCUCAGAAUUGGGUGGAGGAGUUCAGCAGGUUCCCUCCGGGUGUCAGGGGCCUCCUGAGCAAUGCGUCCUGGUCCAUGACGCCACUGGUUCAAAGGAUUCAGCUUCUUCAGCUAGUGGAGCACACAAUGAGGGAUGUAUGGCUCAACCCUGCAUGGACAUCCUAAAUAUCCCAUUAAGGCCUUAAAACUACAUAUUGGUUCGAGGGCUCGGAUAAUAAAACCGGGCAAAACAAAGUUACAAUUGUUAAAAUGACCACAUUGACACACAAUCUGAGGGACUAGGUUGGCCGGCCUUCGAUACCACGACUUCAAUCCUCAUAGUAUUGAUCACACAUAUUUAGCUGACGCUUUUAUCCAAAGCGACUUCCAUUUCAUUUUUAACAUUUAUUUAGAUGCAACUCGACAAAGACGUAUCACGUUACCGGUGCAACGGUCCAUGCGGCUUUAGUGCAGGUCGGACAUGAACAUUCACAAACGUGUUGGACUGAGCAGACAAGCCACCGUGACACCGACUACACGCGCAUGGACCCACGUGUGCUGCUCCUCAGCACCACACGGGACGGGGGACGGGGGACAGGGGACGGGCAUCGCCGACGCAACGCUUCAUCAAGCUGCCAGAGACAGAGGAGGGUCCGGCCGGAAGUGAGAUGAGCAUCCUUUCAGAGUUAAAGCGCGUUCCUAAUCACCCAGAGAAGUUAAGAAGGAAGAAGCAUUGUACUCACAGAGGCUUCUUUGCUGAUAGGAAUCGGUAGAGCAGCCAUUUCAAAGCCAGUUAAAUUCAAAUCAAGAUCAGGGCCGUUGUUUUUCUAUGAGCGGAAGUGUCAUUAUUUUUCCUUUCCUAACUUUAACUGUAAUUCAUCACUUUGUCGUCACUCGUCACUUUGUUACUUGUUUGUUAAUUGUUCGUUAGUGCACUAAUAUUUUUCUUUUUAACUUUUUUUUAACUUUAUUCCCUUGUUUUAUACUAACCCAUAGCCUUAUUCUACUAACCCAUUGCAUUAGCAUUUUAUUUUACUUUAUUUUAUUACUUGUGCACUGCUGUCUUGUCUACUGUCGCGCACUAACGGCCAACUAAUGUUUCCUGAUUCCUGAUUCCUGAUUAAUGUCACCCUGGUUGGAGCUGUGACACAAACCUGUCGUGUUUCAUAGUAUCAUAGCACGUUCGGUUGCCACGCGUUUUACUCUGAAAGGUACCGGCGGAAGCCGCGUGUCUGCGUGUGACUUGCCCAUGCCCGCAAGUUGCGCGUCCGGCAGGCUGACGGGUUGUCCGCCGCCCGGAGCCUGAAGACACUUCGCCUCCUGCGACACCACCGCCGUCCCGAUCUCCGCCUCCCUCCCCGCCGCGGACGCUUGGGGGAACCGGGACCGGGGGCUCGGCGAAGACCGGCACCGUCUGUCGAGAACAACAGAUGUUGCAUCUCCGUAGGAGCGCAUAGGUAGCGCAGGAGCAGGAGCCCCCCCCCCCCUCAGAAGGUGGAAGCUUGAAGAGAGAUUUGGGGAAAUUCCUGUUGAAGAUGGAGUCAUUGGUCUUCUGGAGGGCUGUCUUCAUCUUCCUUUCACUUCCCUCGAUCCAGAGUCAGCCCCAGAGAGCAGUGUUCCUGCCCGAGUUCGCCCUCUCCCCUCAGGGCAGCUUCAUGGAGGACGCUACAGAAGAUCAGCUUCUGACCUACAAGUAUGACGACCAGGUCAGUGGUUCUGCCGGGGAGGAGUGCUUCCUCCUACGGUCCAUGCUAUCAUGGGGGGGGGGGUCAAACCCCUCACAAACAGUUUCCCUAUCGUAGUCCAUGUCGAUGGAAACACACACACACACAACAAACUGGAGCGUAGCCAAAAG
ensembl:lncRNA